AUUGAACGCUGGCGGCAGGCCUAACACAUGCGAGUCGAACGGUAACAGGAAGAAGCUUGCUUCUUUGCUGACGAGUGGCGGACGGGUGAGUAAUGUCUGGGAAACUGCCUGAUGGAGGGGGAUAACUACUGGAAACGGUAGCUAAUACCGCAUAACGUCGCAAGACCAAAGGGGGGGACCUUCGGGCCUCUUGCCAUCGGAUGUGCCCAGAUGGGAUUAGCUAGUAGGUGGGGUAACGGCUCACCUAGGCGACGAUCCCUAGCUGGUCUGAGAGGAUGACCAGCCACACUGGAACUGAGACACGGUCCAGACUCCUACGGGAGGCAGCAGUGGGGAAUAUUGCACAAUGGGCGCAAGCCUGAUGCAGCCAUGCCGCGUGUAUGAAGAAGGCCUUCGGGUUGUAAAGUACUUUCAGCGGGGAGGAAGGGAGUAAAGUUAAUACCUUUGCUCAUUGACGUUACCCGCAGAAGAAGCACCGGCUAACUCCGUG
rnacentral:rRNA from 1 species